rnacentral:rRNA from 1 species
GAUGAACGCUGGCGGCGUGCCUAAUACAUGCAAGUCGAGCGAAUGGAUUAAGAGCUUGCUCUUAUGAAGUUAGCGGCGGACGGGUGAGUAACACGUGGGUAACCUGCCCAUAAGACUGGGAUAACUCCGGGAAACCGGGGCUAAUACCGGAUAACAUUUUGAACCGCAUGGUUCGAAAUUGAAAGGCGGCUUAGGCUGUCACUUAUGGAUGGACCCGCGUCGCAUUAGCUAGUUGGUGAGGUAACGGCUCACCAAGGCAACGAUGCGUAGCCGACCUGAGAGGGUGAUCGGCCACACUGGGGCUGAGACACGGCCCAGACUCCUACGGGAGGCAGCAGUAGGGAAUCUUCCGCAAUGGACGAAAGUCUGACGGAGCAACGCCGCGUGAGUGAUGAAGGCUUUCGGGUCGUAAAACUCUGUUGUUAGGGAAGAACAAGUGCUAGUUGAAUAAGCUGGCACCUUGACGGUACCUAACCAGAAAGCCACGGCUAACUACGUGCCAGCCGCCGCGGUAA